CGCAUCGUCCAUGUCACUCAGCGA
rnacentral:siRNA from 1 species